GUUUAGGGGUGGGGGCCAAUAGUUGUUUUUUUGUUGUUGUUUUUUUACAGUGAGCAGCCACAGGCUGCUCACUGUUUAGUGGACAUGCCCCUACUCGCGGUAUAGCGAGUAGGGGCAUUUGGGAGAUUUAAAUCUCCCUUGUGCUAUUAUGGGGGUCAUAUUGAUCCCCAUAGAGUGAGAGGGGGACCUGGGGGGGGGCUUAUGAAGUGGUGGGGAGCACAGUUCCCUGCUACUUCUAUCUUUACAUAUUACAAGGAGGGAGCUGCACGCCGGUAGCUCCCUCCUUGUAAUAACCUGCACGAACAAACAUACACUGAUACAUUGUGUUUGUUUGUUCGGCUGAUAUUUCUAUUCACUCAUUCGUCUGUCUGAUGAAUGAGUGAAUAGAUGAAAUUCCCGUUCGCAUGUCCAGGUGUUUCACUGGGCAUGUGCGGGAAUCUCACAGUCUGCCUAGUGUGGGCUGAUGACGUGUCCCACAGGGACUUCACCUACCCACACAAAGAUGGCUGCGCCCUGAAUAUAGAUCGGGGCAGAAAAUAAGGAUUUAAAAAUAGGUAAUGUGGGGGGCUUAGGGGCAUUUGGGGGUGACUAGUGAG
rnacentral:lncRNA from 1 species